rnacentral:rRNA from 1 species
GGCGCAGACGGCGAAGCAAGUCUGAAGUGAAAUGCAUGGGCUCAACCCAUGAAUUGCUUUGGAAACUGUUUGGCUUGAGUGUCGGAGGGUAAGCGGAAUUCCUAGUGUAGCGGUGAAAUGCGUAGAUAUUAGGAGGAACACCGGAGGCGAAGGCGGCUUACUGGACGACAACUGACGUUGAGGCUCGAAGGCGUGGGGAGCAAACGA